CCUACGGGGGGCUGCAGUGGGGAAUAUUGGACAAUGGGGGCAACCCUGAUCCAGCCAUGCCGCGUGUGUGAAGAAGGCCCUCGGGUUGUAAAGCACUUUCAGUGAGGAAGAACGCCUGGUGGUUAAUACCCAUCAGGAAAGACAUCACUCACAGAAGAAGCACCGGCUAACUCCGUGCCAGCAGCCGCGGUAAUACGGAGGGUGCGAGCGUUAAUCGGAAUUACUGGGCGUAAAGCGCGCGUAGGUGGCUUGAUAAGCCGGUUGUGAAAGCCCCGGGCUCAACCUGGGAACGGCAUCCGGAACUGUCAAGCUAGAGUGCAGGAGAGGAAGGUAGAAUUCCCGGUGUAGCGGUGAAAUGCGUAGAGAUCGGGAGGAAUACCAGUGGCGAAGGCGGCCUUCUGGACUGACACUGACACUGAGGUGCGAAAGCGUGGGUAGCAAACAGGAUUAGAUAACCCUGUAGUC
rnacentral:rRNA from 1 species